AUACGGAGGGUGCAAGCGUUAUCCGGAAUCAUUGGGUUUAAAGGGUCCGCAGGCGGUCAAUUAAGUCAGAGGUGAAAGCCCAUCGCUCAACGAUGGAACUGCCUUUGAUACUGGUUGACUUGAGUUAUACGGAAGUAGAUAGAAUAAGUAGUGUAGCGGUGAAAUGCAUAGAUAUUACUUAGAAUACCGAUUGCGAAGGCAGUCUACUACGUAUAUACUGACGCUGAGGCGCGGAAGCGUGGGGAGCAAACAGGAGUAGAUACCCUAGUAGUCC
rnacentral:rRNA from 1 species